rnacentral:rRNA from 1 species
UACGUAGGGACCAAGCGUUGUUCGGAUUUACUGGGCGUAAAGGGCGCGUAGGCGGCAUGACAAGUCACUUAUGAAAUCUCCGGGCUUAACUCGGAACGGCCAAGUGAUACUGUCAAGCUAGAGUGCAGAAAGGGCAAUCGGAAUUCUUGGUGUAGCGGUGAAAUGCGUAGAUAUCAAGAGGAACACCUGAGGCGAAGGCGGGUUGCUAGGCUGACACUGACGCUGAAGCGCGAAAGCCAGGGGAGCAAACGGG